UUUUUUUUUUUUUUUGUCGAUUUGUAGCGUCUGUAUUGUUCAGUUCAAAUACUCAGCACAACAAAACUACUAAAAAAAAAAAAUGAAAGAAUAAGAACUCUAUUAGUUUAGAAGACGAAUCAAUAAAACAUGUAAAGUCUACAUAGAGUACAGGUACAUAUCAUCAAAUAAAAUAAAUAAAUCUAAAAUGAUAAAGAACCCCUAAAUAGAAUUGGAUUUGCACCCGCAUGUAAAAGUCUAAAGCUAGUGUUGAUGUAAACAACCUGAAAAGAACAAUAAAUAUGAUCAGCCAUUUACAGCUAUAAAUAUCUGCAAAAAACAAUUGGUAUUAACUAAACAGUGCCAAAAGAUCAGUAUGUAUGCCAAAGUAAUCAAUUUUUCAAAUAGCAACAAAGUUUUAAUAUUAGUUAAAGAUGUGAAAAUAAAGGCAAAAACAAAAUAUUGAAAAUGAUAGGAAUAGUAGAUUGAAUCACCUGACUGAUGAAACAAUAAUACGUCUUGUUCCCAGCUAUAGUUGAUAGAAGUCAUAAUCAGCAGCCUAUACAGACUAACUAUUUUACCGACCUUUAUAUAAUGGCGUAUUUUGGGAGACUAAUUUAGAAGAGUACUGUACAAGUAUUAUGAAGUGUUGUCUCAUGUUAAUUUUCUCUUGAUUAAUUAGCAGUUUAGCAUCAUUAGCAUAAGAAUCCAUGGGAAAGACAAAGAAACAUGUCAAAAAAACAAUAAUAUUAGAAGAAAAAUAAGUUAAUCAUUUCAUAAUUUAUCAAUUUGUGUAAUUCACAGAAUACUAGUUUACUUCCUCAAUGGCUGAUUAGCGAAUUCAAAUUGUUUACUUUUAUCUUUGAGUUAUUUUUUUUUUUUGAGUUAUUUUACUUUUAUCUUUGAGUUAUUAGUAUGAGUUACAUUCAACAUAUACACUAAAAAUGACAAAUAUUCAAGCUAUAUUAAUUAGCUAGCCAACGACCAAAAAAAAUAGCUAUGUUGCUAGCUUACCAUGUUCAUAGCUACAUAAUGUGAUUAUUCCAUUACUAGUGGGUGGUCUCGAUAUGAAGCACUACUAGUGGGUGGUUAAAAGCAUAUACUAACCAACAAAGCAUUUCUGUAUCCAAAAGCUCAUACAGAAAUCUCUAAACCAGUUUAAGAAUUUGGCCGCUCAAAUAAUUGAGUUGCGUCCUGCUCCCCUCUACAAGUGCCCGUAUAUACUUUCUUCACAGUUUCAUGCAGUUGAAGCUAGCCUACAUGCACUUCACAAAGAGGAGCCAUCAAGGAGUUUGGUUUUGGGAUUGAGGAACAAACAAGCUCCACAACCAGAUCACCUCCACUGUAACCAUCAUCUCCACCACCAUUCCAGCUUUCGAACCCCGCUAACUCGUGUGAAAGGCGAAGGCCUUAAUCACAAAGCUGACGGAAAAUGGAGUGGUCAAGGAGCUGCUUAAUUGGUUUGCAUGAAGAAAUAGAAACCAUGACAAGGAAUUGCACCUACGCAUGAGCUGAACCAGUAACCAGCUCAUACUAACACUUCUGAGUUGUGGCUUUCUGUAUUGCUAUUUCCCAACAACCACUUUAUUCCCAAUAGAAUGCAACAAGCCACUGUUUUAAGUUGUAAUAAUAUAUAUUCUGAUUCAUUAGUGAUUACCAAGUAUAUAAAAACAUCUUUCCUUUGUUUGAAUGCAGACGAUAGCUACAUUCAUUUGUUCAUUGGGUUUAAAUAAACAAGAAAUCUUGUCCUCUUUCUUCCUACUUAUAAUUCUUUACUGUUCUAAACUAGUGAUAUGAACAUUUUGAAGGAUUAUAUAUUCUCAAACAUCUGUGGACCCAACCACACACUGAAUAUCGCACCAUCAAGUUUAAACUAAGAAUUGCACUGAGCUUUCUUUCCUUUUCAAUGCAGCCAGCGGCAGUGGUUUAGAAACUGUGACCGAAUUUUAGUUCCAACUCUUUAACUAUAAUGUAUGGGGAAAAAAAAAUAAAAAAAUCUCUUUAACUAUUAAUUAUUAGGUGUCCACUUAAACUCUCGAUCUCAUGAGUUAAACAUCUCCACAAUGAACCCGAGAUAGAGAUAAUCACUUGUGAAUCGCAUGUAUGAGAUGAAAUCCAGUAAUUUAAUGAUAAUCGUUUUACAAAAAAAAAAAGCUUAAACUUCUGCUAUGGUUGGUAAAGUUAGUAAUUAGAAAAUGUCGAAAAAAAGCUACUAACGAAGAAUUCGUGUGGCCAGCGUGUGGAAGCCGUGGUUAACAAAAUCUUAUUUGCACAUGACUAGGCAUGGGCACUUGAAAGUAUGAAUGCCACUACUAGAGAAAAGAAUCAGAACAUUUUUUUUUAUAACGAGACAUUGAAGGAACACAAGAAAGCCAAAAAGGUGAUGUGGGUUUGUGAAAAGACUAGCUAUGUGGCCAUAAAUCAACAUAAAAGUUAACAAAUGAAAAUUAGAAUAAAGUGGCCAGAGUGCUUGCCUUAGGCAAUUGGCAGGAAAGUUGCUUCUUCUCUUUUUUUAAAAAGGAAAAAAAAAAUAAGUGGGCAGUUUUGUCUAAUUGAUCAAAUAAUUGUUUUAUUCUGUUACAAAAAGUUUGAGUGAUAGUUUCUUAAGCUACACCACCGUUGUUAUUAGAGCAAAUAUGUAACAUUAUUAACCCCGAAGGAUUUAGGGUGGACACAUAUAUACUUGUCACAACCGACACCAGCCUCUAAGUAUGGAUUUUCAUAAAAAAAUUUAUACAUUUAAACGAGAUGUGUUGUCAAUAGGGAUCACACUUAAAUGAAGUCUCCACCACAAAUUCGUCUUUAGCAAUUGAGCCAAACCUCGUGGGCAAUUGAUUAAAUUAUUUUUGUUGGGAUGCUUUACAAUUAUAUUGGCUCCAUAUAUGUUUGGUACCUCCAAGUAUUUGUUUAGUGGUUAGUAGGACCAAAAUAAUGUGUGCGAGCAAUAUGGUGGGCACUGAGCUUUUCAUGAUCAAUGAAAGGUUCGCUAAAAGCAACAAAUAAUAAUGCUAGUGCCAGCAAUAUUUACAUUCAGCAAACAAUCGAGCCGACAUGGAAGAUGGUAAUUGGGGUAGGGCGUACGUGACCCUUCUCCAUUGUUAAUAGCUAAAAAUGAUUAAUCUAGGUAAACUUUGCCUCCAAUUAGACAAUGAUACGUGUAGAAGAUCAUGAUAAUAGAAAAACAAAAAAAACAAAAAAGAGUUAGUUACUUGAUCGAUCUUAGAUUCCUAGUCAGGAUCCAAGUUUGGUGACAAGUCUCUACUUCCAUGAUGAGAUCUUCGGCAAUCAUACCAAACUCAAAUGAGUUACUAAUAAAGUUUUCAGAUCAGCGCAACCUCCGCUUGUAUGUUAUUUGUUUUCUAUUUGAAAUGUUAAUCGAAACUGUAUUAUGACAUUCAAGGUUGAUUGCGGUCUUUUGGUUCGGUGAAAUAUUUCCUUACACCACAAAUUACAUUUCUCAUUCUCAAUGCUUAAUUAGUUUACAUCCCAAAUUGAUUCCUUUGAUAGUAUUGCAUGCAUCUAAUAAUGUCAUUAUAGUGUUCUUUCCAUUGCAAUGUUGUAGCUCGCAGUUUUGUUUCAAAUGACUAGCUAUUUGUUCAGGGAUGGAAUUAGGAUUGAGAAAUAAGGUAAGCUAAAUUUCUUAGUGUUCUAUUUAUCGGCCUUUUUUUUUUGAGGUCUCCAUAAAUCAUUAGAGGAAUCCCUCCAUAUCCCACCAAUCAAUCUGUUGCCAAUCAUUUUGGUUCUCCAUGAGGCAUGUCAGAAAGGAGAAUAGUUCUUCUAACUAGGAUAUAGUGAAUGGCUAAAUGAAAGUAGAAUAAGAAAAAUAAACCAAGCUUGUUGUCUUUCAAACACUUAACUAUACUCAUGGGAUAGCUGUCGUGGGUUUCUCGAAAGCUUGAAUGAAAAUUGUUACAGUGUAACCUCUCUGCUCCGAACUCUAUAUCACUUCUCCGGUUGUUAUCAAAGAAAGAUUGCCAAACAUCAAUACAACCUUGAAACUCCACAUAUGUAUAAUAAUUUUUUUGUCCCUAAAAACAUGAGGUGCGCUGCAACACAGCCUAGCCCACCUUUAGGUCUGUGCCUAUAUUUGUUUUGCUAAAUAAAAAUAAGUAGUUAGAGAAAUUCGAUAUAUGAUAUGUUUACUAUGUUAGUGGCUGAUGUUUUAAGUUUUUUUUUUUAAAUAAAAAAAGUGAGAUUCGAUAUAUGUAUAGCUAGGUUUGCAAUUGGAUCAUUCCAUCCGCGGAGUGCAUUUCACCGUGGCAACGAGAUGCUUUUUGUCAUGAAAAUGCUUCAAUAUUACUUCGAAGAACCAAAAAUAUAUAAUGCCCUUGCCAUAAAAGAGUGAUUAGUAAUUGACCAUUAUCCAAGUGAUUACUUACUAGCAUUUGACAUAUAAAAUCAUACAUAUACCGAAUAAAAGUUAGAUAUCCCAUAAAAUUCCAGAUUUCUUUAAUUAGUAGAUAUUGGGGGUUAAUUAAUGGAACACCAUAAUAGCCUUUAUCUAAUUUGGUACAGUACUUAAGAAUCAUUAAUCCAUGAUUAUUCCUUUGGUGAUUACAGUUAGUGUACGUAGUCAAAGCAAAUCCAAGUCGAUCUAUGAUUCCGCUGACAAUUUUGGCUUUCCUCUUUCUUUGGGGUGGUGUGGUUGUACGGCUCUCUAAGCUCUUUAAUCAGUUUUUAUUGAUAAAAAGUAUUGAGUAAUUACUGUUAAUAAUCCAAGAUUAUACAUGAUCAGCUAGGAUCUUCUUCCACGUACCCUGAAUAAUAUAUAGAGAGUAGAGUCAUCCUCAUGAGGAAGAAGAGGGUAGAGAAUGAAGAGAAUCAAGAAAUAUAACAAAGAGGGUAGAGAAUGAAGCAUGAGAUGCUUGAAUCAGUGGCCUUUGGUCUUAGCUUUGAGUCAAGAUUCGAUUGUCAAAAUUGUAAUCCAAUUAUGUUAGAGAUGCUUGAUUAUAUAUAAUUAUUAAACCCUGUUUUUCUCCUAAUUCUGUACAGCAUUUGUUUGUUAAUUUAUUUGAAUGGUACAGUACUAUUAUUCUGCACUGAAUCUUCACACUGUACACUGAAAACCUUGAAGUCAGAUAUUUCAGAACCUGCAUGGAGAGUUGUCAUUAUUUUUGUGUACCUUCAAAGUUACUUCCUGCAGGAAACUACUAUAAAUAGCAAUAUUUGCAAUCAAAUCUAUGCAAAACUCAAUCUGAACCAUCUUCUUACUAUUCUCAACAAUCCCAUCUGAAACACAUAUUAAGCAUACAACCAGAACAUCACAAGUGAUAGAAAGCUCAAGCUUUAGAUACACAGCCUCAACACCUCAGAAUUUGAUUUAUCUCAAAUCACAAGAAGAAGUAAUUAAGCGCUCUCUCUGUACUGUCUAACACUACGGACUAGCUCAAUCAAAGUCCAUAAGACAAAAUGUAGCUGCGUAGAUUGAUCGACCAAUCUGAAAUCUCACUCAACCAAGACUGUGGCAAUAUGAUACCCUCUAGCACUCCAACCUCCAAUCUAUGGAUACAUAUUGGUGAUAUAGCUAGCUUCACUGAUAUUGCAUCUCGAAACGCGCAUUGUGAUGAUCAAACUGAGAUCCAUGAAAGGUACUGCCACUGAAGAAAUCUUGCUCCUCAAGCUUAGGUACAGGUGAAGAAAUGCCGAUGAAAGGUCCAAUGAUCGCAUUCCCAUUCAUCGAAUUGAAGACCAUCUGCGGUCCCUCAUUCGACACUUUCCAGUCAAAUUGCUGCUUAUUACUCAUCUUUGGAUGUUGCUGUGACUGAACCACAACUGCAGACUCAUGAUCUUGUGACGUUGAGCUUCUAGUAGUACUCUGGCUACUCCCUACUGAUCCAGAUUUGGUAUCUGACACAUUAACGGUUGUGAUGUCGUGGAUGCUAGACCUUCUCUUGUCUUUGCCUCCUGUGAGUUGCCUGAUAUAGUACUUUUGAGCAUGACUGGCUACUUGAGUUGGUGUCCUAGUGGUCACAAAAUUUCUUGAGAUAUUUCUCCAGUCACCUUUACCAUACUUUUUAAGUCCCAUCAGAAAUUGCCUGCAAUACAGUUUGCCAUAUAACACACUACAUUAAAAGCUGCAGAAUGAUCCCCUAUUCCACUAGGACACAAAGCCAAAAAAGGCUUCAUGGUAAAUAACCCAUUUCUAAACAAUAUAGUACUGUUCAUCUGCUUAUUAAAUUGCAAGAACUAAUUAGACCUAAUUUGCUAUCUAACAAGCCUUUUUAACUCUCUCAGUACCAUUUCGGUUUGUUCAACAUUGAUUAUACUCUAAGCUAUAUAUAUGAACAAACUAGAAUAGAAGUUUGACACAAUUUCAGUUCUAAGCGAACCUCAAAGCUCCAAGCCUUGAAGGGUUUCAACUUUCAAGUACUUUGCUUUCAAACAUUUCGAUCAAGUACUAAAUUUGCUUUCAAACAUUUGAAAAAUGACCAACACAAACAAAGUUGAUGCUCAAAGAAAGAUAUUCAGGUAAGUUACCUGUGCUCUUCUUCAGUCCAUGGCACACCUUUCUUUCUUUCCUGCUCAGACGGCCGAGUCGACGAGCCUCUCUUGCCACCAUUCCCACCAACACUAUAAUAUUGCUUCAAUCCAUCGAAGCCUUGAUCAUCAACCCACUCCAAUGUGAAAGAAUUAUUAUUAGAAUACCCAGGAAUUGGGAUAAGACCAGCCUCAAUAUCACUCACAUCUUCCUCCAACUCCUUGUACUGCUUGAUCACAUCGCCAACGGUCUUUCCAGGGAUCAAAUAAGCCACCUUUUGCCAUCGAUCAGGGGUGUCCUUAUCAUAAAGAGCAAGAGCAUUCUCAAAUCGCUUGUUCUCCUCUGCGGUCCACUCGGCUCCUUUGCUUUCUUGGAAUAACCAAUUUGAGUUUUGAAUAUAAGAGGCUGGAGAUAGAACUUCAAUUCCCCUAUACAUGUUGGCUCUUACAGUAGUGUUGGAUUGAAAAGCAUAGGAAAGGAAAGUAAUGGAGUAGCUUUGGUCUCUCUCUUUUCUCUUUGAUAAGUAGCUCAAACAGAGAGAGAACCCAGAUAGGAAAUGCAGAGAAGUGGAGGUUUUUAAUGAAUUAAUCAAGGAGUAGCAUUUGAAAGGGAGAAUCUCAGUGUGCUUUAAGUUGAGGAAUCCAAAAAAGAGGAAAACUUUCCAAAACAAGAGGGAAGUGGAAUAAGCAAUUUGAAAAGAUUAGAUCUUGGAUUGUCAAGCAUAAACCCUAGAACCCCAUAUCAGAUUCAAAGCCACAAAGAUCACACAGAAAGGAAAAAGAAAAACCCAGAUCAAGUUUCAGGAAAGUGAGAUUUUUUUACACAGAAAAAAUGAAAGUUGAUGCAAAACCCAAUACCCAAUAGAGGAAACCAGAUAAAAGCGGCGUUGCAGAGCUGAAGAAGAUGAAAGAAAAGAAGAGGUGAGAGCGUGAAAGGAGUGAAGAGCAGAGGGUAGCUGUUUCUCUUUGUAGUGAUUGAGUUGAAGGACAGGGAUCUAUGGAACAGGAACAAGUAGAGGGAAGAGAGUGAAAAGGAGAGGUCAAAGUUGUUGAGUUGUGAUUGGUGGGUAUGGUGUUUGGGGUUGGCGAGAGAGAAGAGAAAGAGAAAGAGAAAUGCCCAACCAAAACCGAGUGUGGGACUUGAAAUCGACAGCCUGGGAUUCGCUGAUUGGAGACCCUGUGUCGAUGAAGUGGGGGUGUUUUUGUAAAAUAUAAAAGUUCAGUAGGGCUGGUUUCUACUUGAGGGAUGGCCGACUACAUUGGGCCUCGGUUGAAACCGAAUCUAACCCAUUAGCAUAGCCCAAUUCGGCAACUAUGGGAAUGAUCGGUUAGUGGUCAUUAUACCACGACACACAUUCAUACAAAUAAUCAUAGUUAUGAGUCUCUCAUCAGAACAACCAUAAGUCAAAAUGGCCUAAUCUCUAACUAAAAUUUACUCUCGAAAUGAGCUGCCAGAUCAUGAGAGUAUUGAUACAACUGUUGGAACUUGUGUGGGAUUUAUCCCACAUGGAAGAAGAACCAAAGGUGGUGGUCCUUAUAAGGUACUUUCCUUGAAACUAAGUAGUUGAUGUAAAACCUUGAUUGGGCUUGGUGGGUUUAUAUAGUCAAAAGAUGGGCCUUAAGCCUUGGGGCUCUUGGGCCCUAGUUGGUUAAAAUCUGUUUUUAAUUUCUGGAAUAUUUUUGGAAGUUAAAAAUCGGAUAAGACCAACAUAACUAUUGGAGAACAGUUACAAUUGCAUGGACAAAUGCAACUGUUCGAUUUUGGCUUUAUAUAUAGAACGACAUUGUUGUCGUUGUUCCCAUCGGAAAAAUACAUCGCUUUUCUUCUUCCUCCCCUAUUCUUAUUUCAGAAAGCAUACUGUAAAUUCGCCAGGGACAAGUUCUUGUGCAAGAACUUGUACCAGAUAGUUGUAUCCUCAGGAUAGUCGUCCGGAACUGCAGCACAAGUGAGGGCGAAUUUUUGUCUUAGGUCACUGCAUUGCAGGCCUCUAUCUAAUCAAGUUAGUGAAUUUCAAUUGUGUUUAUUGUUGCUUGUACGUUCAAUUUGAUUAUUGUGAUAUAUAUAUAUAUAUAUAUAUAUAUUGUUUGGAAUUGAAGAUAUUGGAUUGGAAUAACAACAACAUUGCCACCAACAAUAAACCGAGCUAAAUACCUUUAUUCAACACCAUGUCCAAACCAGAUCACAUGCAAAAGCAAUUCACCCUCAUGUUGAUAACUAGACAAUACUGAAAUGGAAACACAUAAUCCCCAGGAGUGACACCAUAUAAAUAGCAUACCGACCAGAACAAGACACCCAAACUCUCACUCGAUAGAGGAGAGACUUAUUAGACCUAACCAUAAAAACCUACAAAUGAAAAUAAAUUUCAAGUCAUGUUGAAAAGGAGGACACAAACCCAAAGGAGAACAAAGCCCGCUAGGAAACUCAUGAUUGGGUCCAAAAUCACCCUAGCCUACCUUGGCAGUUUGCUUAUAGAGCCGCCUCAUGUUCUUUGUCGGACCGCCGUCACCAAUCGUCCAACUUCUAAUCAUUCUCUUCCCCAAAUUGUACCCUUGCAAAGCAACCAUAUCAGGAUCGACUUGAGCAUAACAAAGCCACCACGAUCUCUCUAUCUCUGGUCCACUCCCAUCCAUAUGCUACCACUCCAUGUCGUCGUUGCCUAAGCAAAGAUGGUAUAGCCGCAUCUUCAAUCUGAUUUACACUCAAAAUCGAUCAGCAGGUAUUCGAUCUCUGAACCCCCCACAGUCAUGAUCUCUACAUCAAUCUCAUGAAACUUCCAACCGCACCGUACCAUCAAUCCUAACCAAUACUAGAGAAUCCAUCUGAUGACGGCGUCACAGGUUGCACAAUCGAACGGAGAAGAAAACCUUAGUUUUGUCCAAGUUUUAUGGAGUGACUUUUGACUCGGAUGUGUUGAGAUCUGAAUCCUAUAUGGGAAAUAUAUAUGCUCCUUGCCUGUGGGUUUAUAAGGGUUUGGAUCUUUUCAUCCAUUGCCAAUUAGUUUUGGGUGUGAACCCUAUACUACUUCAUCACGGUAUCAUAGUGGGUUACCAAGUCCACGUGUAAGGUGUAACAGUCACACUGACUCCACGUCACCCAAAUGUUCUCCACGUGUAUGGCUUAAAAAGUUGCCACACUUGUGGAGGCAUGUUAAGAUAUGAAUCCCACAUGAGAAAUAUGAGACAUUACAUAUGAGUUUAUAAGGGUUUUCACAUUUCUAACCAUUAUCAAUUGAUUUUGGAUGUGAACCGCAGACUGCUUCAUCAUGAUGAUCACAUGGUUAAAAAUGCUCCCAAUAGAAUCUAAAAGCUUUUUAAAAUACCAAUAUGUAGUAAGACGCAAGUCAUGAUCGAAAUAAAAAAAAAUCCUUUUUGCAAAUAUAAUUGUAUUUCCAAAUGCAUGUCUCGAUCUUCUAAACAGAAUCUCAUUAUUGUAUUCGAGUAAUGCUAGGUGUACCAGCUGCAUUCUGCCUUAUGUGAUGACAACUAAUGUUGCAGAAAGUCCAACCGAUCAUACAAUUUCAUCAAAUAAUGCACUACUACUACAAAACAAAUAAAAAAUUCUAUGACAACUACUUUAUGACGUUUGCCCAAAAAUGUCAUUGUAAACUUUUUCUAUGACGUUUUUGGAAGUAAACGUCAUGUAUCUAAACGUCAUAGAGUUUUUUUUGUAGUGUUAGUUUCAAAUGGGAUACCUGAAGCUUGCCACCACUGUUGCCAAAGCUCAUUUGUGCAUCGAUAACCUUCUCCAAUCUUUAAAUCCUGAAUAAUUUUGGUAACCAAGGCGGGCACUUAAGAGCAAGUCCAGCCCAAAAGGUUUUAAAGGCCUAGGCCUUUCGCCACUUAGGAUUAAAGACUCAACUUCAAAAUACCAACUUCCACCCACAAAAAAAGUUUAACCCAAUGAUCAUUAGGCCUUCGCCUGGGUCAGACCCAUGACCCAGGUCACCACUUUUGAUCACCCGGGCCUUCCCAAGCUAGCUCAGCUCAAUCCCAGGUCCACAACGACGUCAGCCACGUUACAGAGACAGAUGCCAUCUGCAAGACGCGAAAAGUAUAUGCGUCCACUACACGGACCAAUGGAAGACGUCCAGGUGCCAUGUACAUGCAAGAUUUUGUCUCGUUGUGGAAGCCAAGAGUGGGUCUUGAGCAGGUUGUUUGAUCUGGACCGUUUGUCUUAAUUAUUAAAGUGAAUCAAUGGCCAUCAAUUAUACACUGGGUUACAAUUGUAUAAUUCAACGGCUUGAAUUUUUUAUAUAUAUUACAACGGUAACUUGAGUUACCCUGGGCUUGAAAAAUUCUUAUAAAUACCAAACAUUUUUUUUUCUAGGCUUAGCCUGUCAAUUUAAGUCAUGUAAUAAAUAAAUAAAUAAUUUUUUUUAAAAAUUAUUUAUUACCUUUUGUAUAAUUUCAAUACGUUAUUUAUAAUUUUAUUAACACAUAAAAUCAUUAUUCACAUUCAAAAUACCUAAUAUAAAAUUCAAUAAACAAUCAAUGCCACGUGACGACCCAGAAACAAAAAUCGUGGGUGAAAACUUGAGUUAAAUUUCACUGCCACGUGACGACCCAGGUCACACCCGUGACCUAGGCCUUCCCAAACAAAGACCUAUGGGUGGACUUGCAUGCUCUAAGGGAGGUGGUUCCUCGGCCUUGCCAUUCAUGCAAUGUGAUAGCGGCUUCAGGAGCGUCACUUGUACGAGCUUCUUUUGGACUAGAAAAUGAAUUUUGGAGGGUUUUGGGUUUGGAGUCCAUUCAUUUUUUUGAAGAAAAAAAAUGCAAGAGAGGGUGAGCAUUUGAAUGCGAUGGCCUUAGAGGGGGAGGCCAAGGCGAAUUGUUGCAUGUGCCUAGUAUCCAAACAGGAGAUAAAAUCAUGUUGUGCAGGUUGAAGUGAUUUUAGAUCUGCUUCAUGUCCUAGACCUAAAACAUCCCCCUCAAUCGAAGCAAAAGAGAAAGGAGGAGGGCGGAAAUUGGCAUCGAGAGGCGGAACCGGAGAAAGGAAAAGGCGCGGUUGGGGUCGGAGAGGACGUUAGGGUCGGUGUCCGGUAGAGGCCGAGAUAGUUAGGGUUAGGGUCGGGCUGGUCGAGAAUGAAAAUUUGGGGUUUGAGGCUCUAAGCUUAAUUUGGGUUCGGGGAAGUUGUGUGAGAUUUUGUGGAAAUGUUUCUAGCAUUAGGUCAAAAGUGGAAAAAUGAACGUCAUAACGAAAGUUUUAUGACAUUUCCGAACGUCAUGGUCUAUUCUAUGUUUAUCAAACGUCAUUAAAAUAAAUCUUUUAUGACAUUUUCUAAUAGUCACGGCUAAAUAAUCAUUGAUGACAUUAAUUUACCGAACGUUAUAAAGAUAUUUUUCUUGACAUCUAAAAAUUAUCAUAAGAAUGAUGGCAGUGAUUAAACAUCAUUAGAAAGAUCAUUUAAUGACAUUUUCGGCCUAACAUCAUAAAAUUACUGUCCUUAAAAGACAAUAUUAGUAGUAUAGUGUGUAGGUAUACGUGCAUCCUACUUUAGUAACAAUCAUCGAAAGAGAGGUUAGACAAAGAAACUUGAAAUUCAUCACAACUUUAUAAUAUUACACACAAUGCAGAAGGCUUGCACAUCCAAAACCAAUAGAUACAACUUUUGAAAAAAAUUUGUACCACAAUGAAAUAUUCCAACAACCAACAAAAUUAGUCAUGAAUGUUUCUUGAGCAGGUUCUUUUCCACUUACUCGAGCAACAAUUUGAAUACAUGAAAUACAUAAAUCAGCAUCUGUUUAUUCAUCCUCUGUUUUGUUCUUCUUCUUGAUCAUUUGUGCCUCGAUCUGACAGUUCGAGUCCGCACAGUUUCUUUUUGGUUAGAGAUCUCUACUUGCAACGCUAGAUGUUUUUGGCGAGAGAUUUAACAGGUCGGAAGAUCCUUUGGAGGAGGUAGAAGUGAUUGAUUAGGUCCUUUCCCAUUGUCCACCAAAAAUGCCAUCUUAAGCCCCCAUGAUGUGUGCACUUCCAAAUGACAAUGCAUAAACCAAACACCUGAAAAAUGAUGCACAUAAUGAAAGGGGUAAGACACCAAAAUGAAGAAAUCAAAAGUUAUAAGCAGCUACAAGUUAUUCCGAAAUGGGUGAGGAAUUUCUGUAUGAGGUCGUUAUGUCUAAAAGGAGAUGACAGCUUACCAGGAUUAUCUGCGAUAAAUCGGAUUGCUACCCAACCACCAGAUGGAACACCAAUUGUGUUCCUUUCAACAGGAUCAACAAGAUUGAAGUUCUUAGGAUCGGUCUUGGGGUUGUAAUUGCCAAGUCCCCUGCCAAUCGCAAAGAAAUUGAAGCCAUGCAGAUGUACUGGGUGGUUCUCAGGGGCUAUAAUUCCAGUGUCUUGCAGCACAAGUUGAACAGUAGAGUUAUAAGCCAACCUAUAAACCUUUGUCCCAUUUGUAGUCGCCAGACUAGAAUUUGCUGGGAGGCCUCCAGAAAAGUUGAAAGCAUUUGGUGGGUUAGCUGGAAAAUCAGUGGUGAAAACCCCUUUGGUUUUGAAGAAAUGUGCUUGAAGCAGAGCUGUGGUUGGCAUAACAAAUGUGACAUUGUUAAUACUGGCCACCACACGGCUUCCAUUACCAGCUUUGCAACUAGGGCAUGGGUUAAUCCCUAACCCAAUUGUGAACAGAAGGUUGUGAUCAAUCUUUAAGGGGACUUUGGCAGGAAACUUCAUUGUGUUCAGGCUUCUGAGAGAGUCGGUAAAACUGUUGGCGACUUGGGUAGCAUUUUGAGGAGGUGGGCUCGUGAGAGUUGUGGGUGAGUUAGAAAGUGUGCCUGAAUAGUGCACAGUGGCAGUGGACGUCAGGUUGUCUACGGCGAUACCGGGAGUGUCUAAGAAUGGGGAGGCGGUAACCAAGUACUUGCCGGACUUUUGGUUUGCAGUGAUGAGAGCAUUCGUGGUUUGUCCAGGGGCGAUCACUAUGGUGUCAGUUUUGAAGGGUUUUACAUAGGUGGCGUCGACUUCCACUAUCGUCAACUUAUGUCCGGCGAUUUUGAAGAAGAGCUCUUCAUUGAGCGCAGCAUUGAUGAUGCGGAGCAAGUAGGUCUUGCCGCUUUCCACAGACAACUUGAAGCCGCCUGCAUUUCAUUAGCAUUGCAUAUAUUAGCUACUAGUGUGUUUAAUAACAUAACAUGUUAGACUGUUUUCUGUUUUUUGUUUUGAAUGAAUGUUAUAUUAGGCAGAAUCUGAGUACCAUCUGUGGUACAAUUUGGAGAGACCAAGCCAGGAUGACCGUUAAUAGUGUGAGCAUCUGACACGUUAGGUGCUAAACCACCUUUGAGAGCUUCAUUGAUCACUGCUUCAGUAUCUGAUUUCCACCAUUCAGCUGAAAUUUGUACACAUAUUUCGACGAUAUUAAGCCCAGCAUAACCUGGAAUCAGUAUGCUACUAGUUUGAUAUUGAAUUAGUAAAGAUAAAUCUUACCUAACACAACUGGAACUUCCUUGUGGGGUGUUGGGAAAGGAUAAGGCACACCACGCUUGGGCAGAAUGACAAGAGCACCAUGGACUGUGGCUCUUAGCCAGAGAAUAUGUGCAUGCCAAAGAAGUGUGCCUCUCUGGCCUGUGAUGGUGAAGUUGUAUGUAAAGCUUUGGCCUUGAGGAAUAGGGCACUGUGUGAUGUAUGCUGGUCCAUCUGACCAACCGGUCCGGAUUUGCCGGAUACCAUGCCUGCCGGAUAGAAAGGUAAGUCGGAAAUUAACUAGAAGUUAGCUUCAAUUACAAGUGAUUAUAUAGGUAUGGAUGCUAAUGAUUCUCACCAGUGAAUGGAAACGUUGUACGUGACAUGGUUGGUGACUUUCACAAGAACGGUGUCGUCUUCCCUGGCAUAGAGAGUUGGCCCUGGAAAACGACCGUUGAUGGUUACAAUUGGCUUGGUGGAGCAUAGUCUGGUAGUGUUUCUCAGCACCACCUGCGUACGUUAACAAAAGAUGGCAAGGUUAGGUUUUAGGUUUUGCAGUCUACAUCGAUCACAGAGUAUGAAAUACUGUCAUUUGGUAGAAAAAUGAUCGAAGGUGUAGUUUUUAGGUUUUGAGGGUGUACCUUCCAUGCACUUUUAACUUUUACACUACUAUUUUUUCAAUUUAGCUAAAUAAAAUCUAUAUAUAUUUCAGCUUUGAAAUAAUUAGGCACACCAUCCUCUUAGGUCUUAUUAGCUAGCUUUUAGUUUAAGAAAUCCAUCAUAUGUCUGUGACCACUGAUCAGAGACUCUGUGGUUUCAUCGAUCUCCAAUCUGUAUGGCAAACAUUCAUGCUACAUUGUACACCUCUUCCAUGAGUGUUUCCGAAUAAUAUGCAUGUAAACAUUUGAUAUUAACUAAAGAAAUGAAACAAACUCUAAUGAAAUGAAACAAAAGUUAAAUUACUUACAUUAAACUUGUAGUUACGAACCCUGCUCUCAACCAAAGCCGGAAGAAGGCAAGCCAGAAGAAGUAGAAGAACUCGAAUCCACGAAGCCAUUUUAAUAGAGGAAUUCGAAUCGUUCUGCUUCUCUGUGCAGUAGUACCAGUAGUAGUAGUACUACAGAUAAAAUAUUCCAGGUCUUCGUUUUGUUUGUGUUGUUGAUAAAUUUUCAUGGUGACUGGCCAGCACAAUUGUUAUAUAGGGUGACGAGAGGCAUUGCUGCCAAGUCGUUUUUCUUAGGUUAGGUGGACAUAGUGGCAUUCUUUAAAAACAAGACUUCUUAAGCCUAACCAAGGUGUUUUUCCUCACAUUUCUUACAUAUUACUUAAAGUUCGUAAUCCAUCACUGUAGCUGUCUAUAUUUUUCUGGUAAACAACAAUUUAUAUGUAAUUAGCUUUAUCAUUCAAUUCCCUCUUAUCAGGUUCCAAUAAGUUUUUACAAAUUUGGUUAUUUGUUUGUUUCCGAGUUGAGACAAUCAAUUAAUUGUGUCGUCCAUCUAGUCAUAAAUUUAAGCAACUAUUAUUACAGAAAGGCCUUAUCGAUCUGUGUCUCUUCUUCUGUUUCUGUAUUAAGUAUUCCUCGAAUUCUUGAUCGAACCUUGUACUAGUGCAAAUUUAUAGCACUCUAGCUUCGGGUGCUGUUUUAAAGCUUAAUCUUUUUCUCUCAGAGCUAAUUUUGAGAAACAGCUAGGGCACAUAUUUCAAUUUACUAGUUUUAAUCUAAUUUUUGUAAAUGAUGCUGCAGUUACGUACUAAUCACUAACCAUCCAAAGUAUAAAGACAUAAACAGUAAAUUAACUAGCUAGGUUAAAUUUUGUUACGGACUUUCUUUUCGAUUAUGUUCCGAGUUUAUAUGUGUCUUUUAAUUCAAAUUUACUAAAUAUAUUGAGAGAUUAGGUCCUCAAUAGAAGUUGAAUUGGAUUGAACAAACACCCCACAUGCACCCCUCCUUUCCCAUCAUAUUUUAAAGGAAAGAGAGACAUCAGCUGGUCCUUUUUGCGUAGGAGUGUAUAGUGUAUAUAACUCGAUCAUCAGUUCAUGCUCAUUUUCCUAGUACGUGAUGUAGAUUUGUGGACAGUUUUGAGUUCUUGCAGAAAAGUUCGAUCGAGUAUGAGUGUGUACCUUAUUUAUAACUAGCGUACGCAAGGUAAUUUCCCUCAAAAGUUAACGUAAUUAGUAAUUAACUCCAACAGUUUGGAAUUACCUAUCUGUGGUAAGUAUGUAUAUAGCAAGACAGUGAGAGUAUUGAUUAAAAAGCCAUAUACAUAUGAUGAAUAUGAGCUGCUGGUGCAUGCAGCCGUGCAGGUGAGUGGUUUGUGGGUGUCUGAUACGUAGAGAGUUGGAAAAUUAGUACGUGUAUGAAUCCAAGGAGGAUGCUUAGGAACCAAAAUAGUUGGAAGGUUGGGAAAUGGCUUUCAGGUCACAAAUCAGAUAGGAACUCCCAACAGCAUAGCCAUUAUAGUUUUGUUUCAAAGUCAGACGAAUUAAACCGACGGUGGGUAAGUCCAUUUCUCAUCACCGUGAGUCCUAAUCAACUCUGAACUUUCUCUAGCUCCAACUAGCUAGUGACUUUGAUCUGGUCCUAUAUAUUUAUUUUUCACUUCAAUUAGUUUUAAUUUGUUCUAUUUUUCUCCACUCUCAACAAUCUCUAUCAGUCUAUAUCUCAAAUCACGUACAAACACGAAGAUUCGUUCAGGCAACAAUAAUGGUCAACUUCGAUGGAAGCUAGCAAGGUAGUCUUCAUCAUGAAGUGCUAGCUCAUUGCCAGCAGAAAGCUUGGCUUCAGCUGCUUCACGACUAAGGCUAAUUGCUAGUUAGUCUUCAAAUAAUCUUCUUCAUCAUAUAGUUCUUGUUUCCACUAAAUAACAUCAAGAAAAUCGAUCCCUUUGCCCUUUUCUUGUCUUUUAUUCAGUUGUGACCUAUUGUUGGUGUUGUACGCAGCUCUAUUAUGGCAAUGAGUUUCAUACAUGGUAGGUAGAAUUUGUCUUUCCUACACAUACGUGCAUUGAGCUCAACCCUUCAAAGGCUUCACGUACUUUUCUUUUGCAUAAAAUAUGACUUCAUUGUAUCAUAAACUAGGUAAAUUGUAGCGUUGGAGUAGCCUCAUUUAGUCGCAUGAUCUGAUUUUAUAUACAGAUAUGUGAGGUAACGAGUCGUAUUUCCUAGGGCAAGAAAAAGAAAGGAAGUGUGUUGAGUAACAUGAAUCAAAUUUUCAAAACCAUGCCAUUAAUAUAUAAGAAUUUAGAACAGAUUACAACUAAUUGUAUGAAUUGAUAUCUAGUCUCACAUUGAUUAGUGAGGCAACGAAAGUGCGUAAUUAAGAAGAGAAUUACUAUCCUUUCAUUGAAACUGAAAGCACUAUUUCAUCUGAAAAUGUUGUAGCUAAGUUUUCAUACUUCAAGAGAGAGAGAAAAUUGCUUUCGUUUCUAUAGUUAGGAAUGUUUCAUGAUCAUUUUCGAUAAUUUAAACUUUAAAGUAAAAAUUACAUAAACAUGUGACAAUAGUCCCCGAUCUGUAAAAUCUAUAUGAGGGGGAGUGAAGGAACGCACCCACCUGCAUUCUAGAAGCCGAGUUGUGUCAAUAUGUUCAGUAACAGCGGGGAGAGAUAAAAUACAUCAAAACGGCUGAGUCCGGCAAGGAUAAACAAAGAAAGUUUCGUCGACAUGCAUCAUAUAUGAUACAUAUUCUUACCUUUGUUAAGAGAAAAUUUGACAUUAUUAAUGUGAGGGCAAAAAGUUACCAUCGAAAGUUUUUUAAAAUUUUUUUUUAUUAGGAAUUUUUUUUUAUGACUUACCCUAAAAAAGUCACGUAAGAAUCAAGUCAUGAGGUUACCCUAGAACAAACAUAUUGCAAUCACCAUAUGAUUAAGCACAAGAGAAUAGAGAACAAGAGAACCAUAAGAUUGCUAGAGAACCCUAACUUUACUAGUAAAACGAGAUUAUUCAAACGCAACCUAGGACCACCCUAACGGAUUAAAAAACCUAAAAGACUAAAUCUCAAAACAAAAUUAAAACUAGGCCCAAACAACAUCAGGGCUCAGCCUUUUGUGCAGCACAUGGAAGCCCAACUAAGGCCCAACACAUACACCACCGUCAGCCACCUGCCUUGCCGUAUUGGUCUGAAUCCUCGUCGUUGUCUUCACCACUAGCGCGAUCUAGCAUAGAAAUUGAAAGGAGA
rnacentral:lncRNA from 1 species